AACAAUUAAAACUUUCAACAACGGAUCUCUUGGUUCUGGCAUCGAUGAAGAACGCAGCGAAAUGCGAUAAGUAAUGCGAAUUGCAGAAUUCCGUGAGUCAUCGAAUCUUUGAACGCACAUUGCGCCCUUUGGUAUUCCGAAGGGCAUGCCUGU
rnacentral:rRNA from 1 species